rnacentral:lncRNA from 1 species
AGACCAGCCACCGGGGACUCCAGAGAGGCCUCGGCCCAGCUCCCGGAAAGGGUCUCCCAGCCAGGCCUUCUAGCGGCCCAAAGCGGAUGGAAACUUGACCCAGAAUGGACAAGUGAUUCUCCAGGUCCAGGACUAAAACAUGGGCCUCUCAACAUCUCAGCAGGCAGGUGGAAGAGAUGGAGCAAACUCACUUGGAGCAAAGAUGGGCAGGAGGGGAACAGCGAAGCCCAGGCCAACGGCACCACAGGGCCCCUGGCAGAACAUGGACAGAGACAGUGUGAUUCCAGGGCUCUGUUCCCUUGCUGCUGCCUCCAUGGGCCCCGUACAUGUGCUCAUGAUUCUUAGACACAAACAAAGCUCCCAACACAGUGAUGGAAAUGCAGCUGCCAAGGGGGAUUGCCAAGGAAACCAUCUUUGAAAGGCUCAUUAUUCUUAUGAAGAAUCUGCAGGAGACAGGAGUUCUCAAAACAACUCUCGCUCCGCCUCUAUCCUCAACCGGACUCUGUGGGAGUGUCUCUUUUAGUAAUUAUCCUGUUCUUUGGUAAUUAUCUGCCUCUCCUGCUAGCCUGUGGGACUGUGUUUUCUUCAUCUUUGCAUCAUGAGUAUCUAGCACAGGGUCUGGCUCAUUGUAGUACCUGGCAGAUAUUGGUGGGAAAAACACAUGGCUGGUGUAGCUUCUUCUCUUUAUUCACUUUUAAUUUUUUUCUCUUUUAUCCAUUCACUGAACAAAUCUACUGAGACCCUGCUCUGUGUCAGGCCCUCACUGGGGACACAGAAGUGAAUGAGAGCCAAGCCCUGACUUGGGGGAAGGAGCUCCUAGAGUGAGGCAGGAGACAGACCUGUAAACACACACCACAAACAUGACGCCACCACCUGGGUACAGGCACCACCUCCAAGCUGGGCCCUAAGCCUUAUCGGCCUGUGUCUCUUCAAACCAGAGAGGCUCAAAGAUCUUAUUAGGGGCCAAGCUGUCACUUUGUUGGAGAAGUCUUCCCUCUCUAUUCCAUAAAAGCAAAACUCCAGAAGCCAAAUCAAAGGUGCCCAGGGCUGGAAGGAUAGACUGCUGGGCCAUGGGUCUCCUGAGCCUCUGCUGCAAUCUCCCUGGCAGGUGGCUGCCCAGCCGCUGCUCGCACUGCCUGGGGUGGGCUGCACAUGCCCGGUGAGGCAGCCUCCUCCUCAGUGGCCACUGGUUAGACCUGAGCAGAAGCUUGCAUUGCAGUCAGCUCCACUCCUUCCUAUCUCUGCACUGAUCCCUGUUUUGCACUCCAGGGCCACCCUUUUAGUGAAUGCCCUGCUGGCUGCCCCAGGACAGUCUUUCAGGUAUUUGAAGGGGGCAGCAACUGGGUCUGUAUCCCUGGCUUCUCCAAGUAACACAAGCCCCACAACAGUUCAGACUUGGUUCCCAGAGCCCUCACAUUCCAACUGCCCUCCUUACAAUGUGUCUCAGUUGGCUCUGUCCCUUGGACAGUGUAACUCCAGAACUAAAGGCCACAUUGUAGGUUGGUCUCCACACAGGACACACCUCCUCUGCCCUGGAGUCUAUACCUCCAAUGAUCAGCCCAAGCAGCUCUAGCUUUAUCAGUGCUGGCUGCCCAAACACCACCCCUCGCCAUCCACUUAGCAACCUCUACUCCGUAACUGAAGAAUCUUCCUCAGUGAAAAAACCUCUGAGCCUCUACUUCCUUUUUCUGUGUUCCCACAGUGCCCCCACCCCCACCCCCACCUUGGCAGCAGCCCUAUCAGAUCAGCUUCAAUAGUUUUGUAUCUGCCUCUCUAGACUGGGCACUUUCAGGCCAGGGACCAUGCCUGCUUCAUCUCUCUUUCCCUCUCUCCCUCCCCUCCUCUCCUCUCUCUCUUCCCUGCCUCUUGCCUCCUUCCGUACUUCCACAAACAUUUACUAAAUGCCUACUAUGUGCCAGGCCAUAGGGAUCACUAGCAUAGGGCUGGCACAUGGUAGGAGGCCUACUUUCUCAAUGAGGAGUUUUAAAAUAGCUCAUACAAGAUCAAAUUCUAACAACCGCAUUUACAUGACAUGAAAAUGUUUUCCUAUUUUUAACUUAGCACCUUUUUUGGCCCUCCAAAUGAUAACAUCUCUUUAAGGUUUCUGAGAUAACUUUACAUACAAGGCAUUUGAUUCUCACAACAAUGGUGUCAGCCAGGCAGACAGAAAGCCCUCUCCUCACCUUCCAGAAGCGAAAACGCGGUGCAGAAAGCUGAAGUAAGUUGCCCAAAGUCACACAGUGAGUUCGGGCAAAGUCAGGACCUUAAUGGAGGAGCUCUUUCCUCUCUAUAGUAUCCCUCCUUGUGGAAUAUACAGAUAUAGAGAUUCCAAAUUUGUCUGUAGAUGCCUGGACUGGGCUCGGCUUGAGAUGACUCUGACUGGCUCUGGCUGGAGCCAAUGACUUCUGCAGGUUCCAGCUCAGAGCUCCCAACUGCAUCUCCUUAGAGAGUUGCCCCUCUGGGCCCAGGCCCCCAACAACCUGGCUGGCUACUCCCACUGCACAGCUCCCCCUACCCACCAGGUUUACUUCCUAGCAUUCAGCCGACCCUGAAAAAGAAGACCUUAGCCCCAGAAAGCAGUGGCAUCCUGCCUAAGAGUGCCCAUCCACAUUCACACCUGGAAGCCCUACCUGUGCAGCUGCCAAUCAGUCUACCAGCCCAGGGCCACACUGAGUCCGCCAGAUGUGGCUCAUCACACAGAAACACCAGCUAGGACCACAGUUAGGAGAAAUGCUGCCUCCACAAGACUUAAUUCUGGGUCAGGGGUGGAGGGAGUGAACUGUGUAGAUCAAACUCAGCUUCUCUGACCUUCUUGUGACUCAUUUUCCAUAGACGAGAGUAUGGAGAGUCAUUGAACGUUUCAGAGCAAGCGAGGGACAGAGGAGGAGGCUGCUGUUUCAGGCGAUGCACAUCUCUGCAACAGGAAUCCUACAGAUAGUCCCAAGUGCUGGACAAGGAAUGGGUUUUAGGGUCACCCAAACCUGGGUUCACAUCCUGGCUCACCACUUACAAGUUGUGUGACUUUGUUCCUUAAUCACCGAGUUCUGAUUUGUUUAUCUGUAAAUGGGAGUGACACCUGCAGACUCUAACCUUACUGUGAGGAUUAAAUGAGACGAAGUGUGUAAAGGCCAAGUAAAGGUUCAUUCCCUCCCCCUAGGCUGUGGCAACUCUGCAUUUUACAAAAGUCGAAUCAAGAUCUGGGGCCAGCCCCUAGUUCAGGUCUUUCCCUGCCACUCUGGGUUCCCUCCAGGCAGACAUGUUCUUCUGAAAUACAGGGAAAUGGUUGCACUUAGGUGGGUAAGUGGCUAGGUGGUUAUGUUUUCUUUGUGGUUAUUUACCUAUUUAUUUUUGCCAAUGUUAAAUACUUUUUCUAGAUUUGGCCUGCUAGGGAGAACUAAAUAAAUUUCCAAUUGUAUGAGAAAUAUUUUUAAAGGCAUUCUCGAUUGUUUUAGCACCAAGAAGGCAAAGUCAAAGGCACAGCAGAUUGUCCCAGUGGGCUGCCAGGAAUCUAAUAAUUCUGCUAAUGACCCUUUUUAAAAUGUAAAGUGUUGGACUAAGGCAGCGCUCAAUUCUUGUCUAACACUAUGCUCCUGGGAACUUGCAAAUCAUCAUUGUCUUCCCCCAACCCCCAUCUAAAGCAAAGGAUCGGAUCUUGAGCAAUUAAUCAAAAUUGGUUUCCUGCAUCCAGAGGGGAUCACUCCAAAUGAAUGUGGAAUUGCAGAGAUGGAUCUGCACCAGCUGAUUUAUAGGGUGUGCUUAGAGAGCAGGGGCCAGAUGAAAGGCUGGGGGACGGGAAGAGGCAGCAAGAGCCAACACUAGAUGGCGUUAAUCUCAGGCCAUUGUGUGGCAGGAGUGGAUUCACCUUGUGUAGCUCCAGCUGCCAUACUGUUAGGGACCAGGGGCAGUAAUUAACUGGGAAGCUGUGGUCAGCAAAACUACCCAUAACAUGAGCUAUUGGCGAGGGCAUUGCACACUCCAGUUUGCAGAGGACUUUUGCAUGCCUCCCCAUGGGGCCCUCACCGCAGGCCUGGGAAUCAGGUAUCCCUUGCUUUCAGAGCUCUUGCCACCUGCUAUCCUGAACUCUGAAAACAAACAGGUCGAAAUAAAUAAAAUUAUCCCUUGCUGGCCAAAUUCUUGCUUCCUGAAUUGGGAACCAAAUAUAUUCGAAGAGUGAUCGAUAUUUGUAUUAUUGUUAUCUAUUGGAGGCUUAAAGAAAUUAAGAGACUCAGUUAAGGUCACACAGCUAGUAAAUAGUAGAGCUUGGAUUUAGAACCAGGCCUGUUGGUUAUAAUCCUUGCUUGGAAUUAGACAUGCCUGUGAAAUGUGUGGUGGUGGGGAGGGUCCUGUCACCCUAGAGUUAGGAGCCCUGAACUGAGCAGGGAGUGAGAUUGGCCAACCUCUUAGAUUACCCUGUAACCAAGGGCCCAUGAUUUUAUGCAAUCAAGACUGUUUAGAAAAAGUGGCUAUCUAAAGUACAGAGGUAUGCAGGCCUGAACAGAGGCCAGCCAGUAUAAAACCAGCCAUUGACUGCUCUCUGGUCUGCAGUUGCUGUGACCUCUCACAAAACUGCCCCUUUCAUGGGAGCAGAGACAGUUAAUAGUCAGAGAAGAGCCUUGUGGAAGCACCAUGGUGAAUGUGGAGGCAGACAGUGAAUCUCAUCAUUCAUUCACUCACUCAUUUUUCAUUCAAUGAGCACUUUAGAAGACACUGUCUAUGGUAGGCUUUGGGCCAGAAGCUAGGGCUACAAAGGUGAACAGAGAUCUGGCCCUUGCCCUGGGGGAGCACGGUCUGGUAAGGGGGAUACACACAUGAGCGGAUGACACAGUACAUGUGGCAAGUUCCAUCAUGAAGACACACAGGGAGCAGCUUACCCAGCUUGGGAGGUGCGGGAAAGGCUUCCUGGAGCUGUCCCCUGAGCAGAGUCUUGAAGGAUGAGUUAGCCAGGUGGAGAAGCAGGAGAAGGGCAUUCCAGGCAGGUGGACAGCAAGGGUAAAGGCAUGGAGGUGAGAAGCAGCAUGGUGCACCGAGGGAACAAGAAGCUUCUGCACCACGAGGAGCCCACGGAUGGUUUAAAGCACGGGGUGACGUGGUCAGAUUUGCAUAAAGAUCCCUCUAGCAGCUUAAACCAGUAGCAAGCAGUGGCAGUAACUUUUAAAGCUCAGCAUCUGAAGCUCUCUUGGCCCCAGAUAAGAGUUCUGGGGCCAUCUGUCGAGAUCACUAUAUACAAUGCCAGGUUAACAAGUAAUUGAGGCCCAUUACAUGAGGACAAGGGACAGAAAUUUAAGCUCAAUUCCACUGGCUGAAAUAAAAUGCUCAAAAUGGCAGUCUCAGAUCCAAUACUUAUAUACUGCAGAUAAUAAUGGAUACCAGUUUUAUCUUGGUACCUCCAGGACUGAGUAUAUUUUUUGUGAAUGAAGAAUCUGCUGGACAAUUCUGCAUUUAGUAACCUACAUUGCAGUCACCCAGGCAAGCUAGUACCAGAAGGAGAAAAACUGUGUAUUGGCUGUGAUAAUUGGUCAGUAUAGCCAGGACGUCUGAGCCAGAUGUAUAUAGAUCUGACCCCAUUCUUAUUUUCCCUCAGUUUGUAUCCGGGUCCCAAGAUUUAAAGAGGGUACUAGGCAAGCUUGCUGGAGGACCUGGAAUGGCCCAGCCAGAGUGUGGCACUGUGGGGUAUGGGCUUAGUUUUUAUUGGGGGGUCCCACUUGUCUGAAACCUGAUUCUUUUCAGGCCAGCUGAGCCUCCUUCAGGUGAGAGGGAUAGACAGCAGGCUAUGGAGCUGGAAGCCUGGAUUCCAGUGCUUUCUCCAUCUUCUAAGCCUGACCAAGCUGGCAGGUGUCCCCUCCUCUUUGAGCUUCCCUUUCUCCUCUGUUACAUGGGGCCAACACCUGCCCCAUAACAUUGGGAGGGUUCAGUGGAAUGGCACAGAAAGAAACGCUUCAUAAGCAACGCAUACAUAUAAAUUGUUAGAAUAUUACCAUUUAGGUCUGUGGACUCAAGGUAAUUCAAUAGCUGUAAUUCUUUAAAAGCAAUCUUCUUAAGAAUGUUUGCCUCAAUCAACUUCGUGUAUUACUAACAGCUAAGUAUAUAUCUGUCAGAAAGUGGACAAGUACUUUCAAGUACUCUAAAGGGAGGGGAAGGGCGUGAAGUGACAUGUUUAGUGUCCUCCAGGGGUUCCCUACAGCCCUCAUGUCAUUUCAUCCUCAUUCUGCUCCUCUGAGGGGGGGUAUUAGUGUCCCCAUUUUCAGAGGAGGACACUAAUGCUCCAGGAGGUUAGUGAGAGACACAGCGUUGCACGGCAGCACUGGUUUCCACUCACGAACUUUGUAAAUGCCUAAGUGCACUGUCCAUGUUAACCAGUAUUCAUAGGGUAAAUAACAAAAUACAUAAUGGUGUUAAUUCUAGUUCUCCCUGUUGUAGGAAUUCUAGGAUGGUCUAGGUGUUAUGAGGAUAUAUGCAUCAAAUGGCAGUGGGGUGGAAGUAGGGGUUGAAACACAUGCCCGGUUCUGUGAGAGUGGAGUUUGGGCUCCCUUUGUUUGAAACAGCUGUCUUUCCUGUUCCAGUGGCCUUGGCUGCCCUAGCCGCUUUCCUAACCCUGCUGGUCUCAGGUGGUGCUAGGGGUGAAGCCUUGCUUUAACGCAGAUGGUUCACAGGUUAUAUCCUGAAAGAAACUUCUGUACCUAUGGUCCUGAAAAUGUGAACUGCUUUGAGACAUUUUAGCAGUAAAAGGAGCCUUAAACCACAGUGACACACUAAAGGAGUCCAUAGCCUUUGUGAAAUGGGACUUGACGCUCCUCAAAUCUAUGAGAAGUGAGAAGCAGGUUGUAAAUUCUUAAACCCUAGUGAAACAAAAGAGGGAAGAAUUUCAUGAAGAACACAAAAACUCUAAGGAAGAAUUGAAAUACAUUUAUAGCUAACUUAGCAACAAUGACCUAUUUUGAAAAUAGGGGGCUGGUUUGAAUUUUGUUUGUUUGCUGUUUCAGGGAGGUAAUGUGAGUGAUGGGUUAUAGAUUUGCCUCCUGGGGCUCUGGGCAGCAGAGGGGAGCAUGGUGGGAACCACAGGCGGAAGAGCCCCUGGGGGAGCCCUGAGCACGUGGGCAGCACUGACAAAGCUGGCAAGGCCCCUGCCUUCCUGCCUUCUCCAUUGCCCAACGCUUGCCCUUUCUCUGACUCUGAGUGUGUCUCACCUUCUCGCACUCUCUUAGGUUACUCUAGGUGUCUUCAUAUGUGUGCUUUCCUGUGUCUUUUUCUCUCUGUGCCGCUAUUUCUACCUCUCUACUUCUCGCCUGUCUUUCUUACCACCUCUCUCAAUCCCCGUUUUGUCUCUCUCCCUUAACUCAUCAAAAGAGAGCUUAAUAAUAUGCUUUUAUGUAUUUGUUUUAUUUCUUGAGCAGCUUUUGUGUUUUCUGCCUCAUACAAAAGUAGACAGGUGGGUGGGAUGUUUUCUAUUCAUCUGGAAAACAAAUACAUACGGCUUUUCAUUUAUACCACCCUUGAAUGAUUUCUACCCCUGCCUCCCCCAAAACUCAGCAAUCAGGUCCAGCAAUAAAAGUCCACCCUAGGGCUCCUAGCUUAGAGCAAGAGAGGAUCUGUAGUGUUGCCUGACGCAUAAGCAAGCAAGAGAAGCAUGACAAGGGAGCAUGCAGGGUGUAGGUACGCUUUGGGCAUAUGGAAAUGGAGAUCCCAGUUAGCAACCGCCCACUCACGUGCACCAGGCCUCUCCACCACCGAGCUCUGUCACUCUCCAGCCUGUGCCAUGACCCUCCCAAGGGAGCUACCCCCCCAGAACUGAAGUUCACCUGGUGUUUGAUGGCCCCCCUCCGACCUUUGCUUGGGCAGACCCCUCUAUCUAGCAUGCCUUGGCCACCCCCGGCUCUGUUCACCUGGUCAACACCUACCCAUUGCUGAAGUCCUCCCUGAUCCAUGGAACCAGCUAGAAUGGCCUCCUCCUUCGUGCCCCACUGUGAUCAGAGGCGGGGUCUCAGUCAUCCUGGUUUCCCUAGUGCCCAGCACAGUGCCUGGCACAUAAUAGGUAUUCAAUCAACAUAUGUUGGAAAAAUGAAGAGUAUAAAAUCUUUUGUCUUCCACUUUACCAGAAGGAUAACAAAGUGGGCAAACUUGGUCCUAGCUUUCAGGUUCCCACCCAGCCCCCCAGUUUUCCAUUUCUAGACUUGCUCCCUGCAGUGGCCUUGCCCUUACAUAUCCACACCCCAGCUGCUUUCCAGGGCUCCCUCUGCCACAGAGCCUUCCGCAACUCCCCAGCCCUAGUUGGAAGAAGCCUGUCCUUCAUCUGAGUUCCCAACUACCUGAUCUGUUGUUGCUUGGUGGCCUGUCUGGUGGCUGUUUCAGCACCCCCACAUAAGGCACACACACGACUGUCACCCCCACAACCCACAGUGAGCCAGCCCCCUAUGGGUGGAACAUCCACAGUGACCAUAGAUUAACUGAGCAAGUGAAGGCAUCUCUGCCAUCCCUUGGGAGGAGAAAAAGCCAGAAAUGACAGUCCUGCCAGUCGACAGGAAGGAGGCAGAGAGUCAGAGCCCAGCCUCCCAGUGUGGCAAGGUGGUGCUCGGUGCAGGCGGUCGCUCUUCCCGGCAACAUUGGAUCAAAAUGUUACACUACCUUUUUGGCCAGUGCGUCUCCCGGUCCAUCUUCGCUUUCCCAAAACUUAGCUCUGACUGCUUGCCAAUAGUAUCUGAGAGGCAAUCUAAAAGAGUCAAGCUGCAUUAUGGAGAGCCCCAGGAAGACUGCAGGGCACAGCUCAUCUUGCAGAGAAUGGCUCAAAUGCAAAAGGUUCAUUCCUUCACCUACUCAGGUGGGCCUCACCAAGGAAAUAAGAUCAAGAAAGUGGUGUUCGUCUUUAGCAUUUAUUUAUAAUUGGAAAAACUGUUUGUUUGUUUGUUUUUCUGAGCAAGCACAGACCACAAGCACGUCACAAUCAAUUGGCUAUACAUGAAUAUUUUUGUCAUUCUCUUACAGCAGGAAUGAAAUAGCACCAAGAGAGGUGUGCGCUACAUGUUACAUAGACAAUCUGUGGUAUGCAACAAAACCCAGGCCACAAAAUCGUAAUUAGACACUUCCUGUCUGCCUCAGAGAGGCAAAGAAAGCUAUGUGGACCGAAUGGGAGCACAGACAGGACAGAUUGCUGAGGGAAGCCAAUGCGCAGCUCUUGGGGCUGCUUUUGCAGGCAGGGAAACAGCGGGAAAGCUUCAGUCCCAGCUCCCUCGCCAGGGAAGGACGGAGAACCACAGGGAAAUGUACAGAGGCCAGUGGGACGAGCUUUGGAAGCUUGGUCACCUUCAGGAAGGCAACACCCAAACACUGCUUGUGGAACCAAAAUCAGUUUCAUUCAGUACGUUUGGGAUAUAGAAUGAGACUGGCUGAGUUUUAUUUGUAAACAGUAGAAAUCAAAGGAAGUCUCUUGCCAGUAAAGUGACACAUUCAAGAGUCAAAGUGAACUACAAACAGGGUUUUCUCAGUGGGUGUGUUAAGCAGAAGGGGAUACUGACAGGUUGAAAAAGACAUGCUACAGGUCCUCUAAAGCCUUGGGUGAGGGUAGGAAGUUGGUCCCUGGGGCAGUGAGUGGGGGCGGGGGGUGGGGAAGCCUGUGGGACCCUUAUGUCAAACUGCGAUUUGGGCAACACCAACUUGACUUGGUCAUAGGGAUCAAGUCAUGUGCACCCUCUGGUUGUGUGGCUGUGGAGACAGAUUUCUUUAUACUGCCCACCACGCCUAGCACAGUGCCUGGCACACGGGCUUCUAGCAAGGGAAUGCUAAAUAAAUGAUCCCCUGUGCAUUGUAAACUCUGAUUUAUUUGAUCUGCAAAAAUAAAUGAUUAUUCUAUGGAGAAAUCCAAAUUGUGGCUAGCAUCAACAUGUCUGACUAAUGCCAAAUCUUGAGAGACUGAACAUACAUUGGCAAAUCCUCUGGAUACAAUUAAGAUCAUGUUGCUAGAGCUUUCUGCUAAAUGUUAAGAUUAGCUGGCAAAGAGUUGGAAUCAGUGCCAGGAUCCACUCUAGUCAUUUCCUGAUAGCUUUCAAAAUCUGUGACUCAUAAACACGGAGACCCACCAGCAUUUUCUACCUUCCUUCAUACUUCUCCUUCCUCACAGUUUUAAACCCUGAGAUAGAAAGGAAGGUCGCAGUGGGCCUGAUCAACAACUUCGUUUCUGAUAUUCCUGUUCUGUUAAUAAUUAUGGCUCAUGUAGCACACGCCGAAUUAAUUUACAAAAGACUUCUCACUCAGCCCCAAGGUGACAACCAAAAUGAUGUAAGCAGAGACUUUGCUGCCUGAAUGGUCGGAGUAAGAGAGAGUUCGUGGAGGCUCCACUUCCUCCAAACCAGAAGGACCUAAAGGGACUUUGAGGUAAGGAACUGUGAGACCCUCACUCUUCACCCCUUUCAUUGUAAAAGAAGAGCAAGCCUGCGCCGGGGCUUGACACCGGACGGCAGCCCAGUGUGUCAGAAUGCCGGGGACAAGAGGAUUUUAAGGACAGGAGAUACAGAGUGUGCUGAGCAAUAUACACGUCAUAUUGGCAAAUAUUAUUUUUCUGGUAACUAUUUUGAGUUCCCUCACAAGCACUGGGGUUUUUUUUUUCACAACAACUCCCUGACUAAUUCCUACAACACAACUCUAGCACAGCGAAGGUGGCACUUGCCACCCUUGGGGGCUUUGGCCACACACACACACGACACGGAAUAUACUGAGAGCUGCUUUUAUAUAUUAAUGAGGUCAAAGCUGCUUGCUAAUUAGUUAGCAGGGCAGUCUCCUAGUCUGCAGCUAAGUCACAGACAUUCUCCCUGACCUGAGGCCUGGCACCGCUGCCCUCUCUGAGGAGCAGACCAGAGCGGUUCAGGAAGGGAGAGUAAACAUCGCCACACUUGCCACUACAUCUACGCCCCCUUGGGUCUCAGAAAUGGAAAGUCAAAUUCCAAACACACUAUCCCUACACCUUGAACUUUCUUCCUCAGACAUCUCCAACCGGUCGCUCUGCGAAACCAGCAGCAUUGGACAGGUGGUCGGCCGAGGAGAAUCAGAGGAAAACAGCCUCCUCAUUUCUGUGAUCUUCCUAUGACAGCUGGAAUGUACCUAAAACACCUAACCUUCUUCACCAGCCC